UACGUAGGGACCGAGCGUUGUCCGGAAUCAUUGGGCGUAAAGAGCGUGUAGGCGGCCAGGUAGGUCCGUUGUGAAAACUCGAGGCUCAACCUCGAGACGUCGAUGGAAACCAUCUGGCUAGAGUCCGGAAGAGGAGAGUGGAAUUCCUGGUGUAGCGGUGAAAUGCGCAGAUAUCAGGAAGAACACCCGUGGCGAAGGCGGCUCUCUGGGACGGUACUGACGCUGAGACGCGAAAGCGUGGGGAGCGAACAGG
rnacentral:rRNA from 1 species